CUGCGACCAACAACAUCUUCUUCCCAGUCAAACUCCAAAUCUAUUGAGAAAUCUUCAACAUCAAUGGCAUCUACUUCGCAGCAAAGAGUACCAACAGCUGAGGAUAUUGAAAAAUACAGGAACAAAUUUGACACUGUGGUUGACCCUAAUUUGGGAACGAUUUCCAUUCCUGAUGAUUUUUAUAACAAAUGGAAAACAACUUUUGACAAACACAAAUUUGGCUGGAUACGAGGACCUAACUAUAAGAUGGUUG